GGGCUCACACAAGCGGUGGAGGAUGUGGCUUAAUUCGAGGCUACGCGAAGAACCUUAUCCUGGUCUUGACAUGCUUGAGAAUCCCGCCGAAAGGCGGGAGUGCCCUUCGGGGAGCUCUUGCACAGGUGCUGCAUGGCUGUCGUCAGCUCGUGUCGUGAGAUGUCGGGUUAAGUCCCUUAACGAGCGAAACCCUUGUCCCUAGUUGCCAGCGGGUCAUGCCGGGGACUCUAGGGAGACCGCCGGUGUUAAACCGGAGGAAGGUGGGGAUGACGUCAAGUCCUCAUGGCCUUUAUGAUCAGGGCUGCACACGUCCUACAAUGGACCAUACAAAGGGAAGCGAACUCGCGAGAGAAAGCAAAUCCCAAAAAACGGUCCUCAGUUCGGAUUGCAGGCUGCAACCCGCCUGCAUGAAGCCGGAAUCGCUAGUAAUCGCGGGUCAGCAUACCGCGGUGAAUGUGUUCCUGAGCCUU
rnacentral:rRNA from 1 species